rnacentral:rRNA from 1 species
GACAGAGGAGGCAAGCGUUGUUCGGAAUCAUUGGGCUUAAAGGGCGCGUAGGCGGGUGCUCAAGUCCGGGGUGAAAUCCCACAGCUCAACUGUGGAACUGCCUCGGAUACUGGGUGUCUCGAGGGUGGCAGGGGUAUGCGGAACUAUCGGUGGAGCGGUGAAAUGCGUUGAUAUCGAUAGGAACUCCGGUGGCGAAGGCGGCAUACUGGUCCACUUCUGACGCUGAGGCGCGAAAGCCAGGGGAGCAAACGGU